GGCUCAGAACGAACGCUGGCGGCGUGCUUAACACAUGCAAGUCGAACGAACCUUCGGGUUAGUGGCGGACGGGUGAGUAACGCGUGAGAAUCUGCCCUCAGGAGGGGGAUAACGGUUGGAAACGACCGCUAAUACCCCAUAUGCCGAGAGGUGAAAAGAAAUUCGCCUGAGGAUGAGCUCGCGUCUGAUUAGCUAGUUUUUUUUCUAAUGGCGCACGANUAGCUUCGAUCAGUAGCUGGUCUGAGAGGAUGAUCAGCCACA
rnacentral:rRNA from 1 species